rnacentral:rRNA from 1 species
UACGUAGGUGGCAAGCGUUGUCCGGAUUUAUUGGGCGUAAAGGGAGCGCAGACGGAACUGCAAGUCUGAUGUGAAAGCCCGGGGCUCAACCGCGGGACUGCAUCGGAUACUGUAGAUCUGGAGUGCCGGAGGGGCAAGCGGAAUUCCUGGUGUAGCGGUGAAAUGCGUAGAUAUCAGGAGGAACACCGGCGGCGAAGGCGGCUUGCUGGACGGCAACUGACGUUGAGGCUCGAAAGCGUGGGGAGCAAACAGGAUUAGAUA